CAACAGGCCUUCCAGCUGCCAGUAUUGUGAUUUGUUUCUACAACGAGGCCUUUUCUGCCUUGCUUCGAACAGUACAUAGUGUCAUAGAUCGAACACCAGCCCAUCUACUUCAUGAAAUUAUCUUAGUAGAUGACAAUAGUGAAUUUGAUGAUUUAAAAGGAGAACUAGAUGAUUAUGUCCAAAAAUAUCUUCCUGGAAAAAUUCAAGUGGUUAGGAAUGAAAAAGGAGAGGGAUUGAUUUGAGGAAGAAUGAUUGGAGCAGCUCAUGGUACAGGAGAAGUUCUUGUGUUACUAGACAGUCACUGUGAGGUGAACAAGAUGUGGCUACAACCUUUGCUGGUUCCAAUUCAUGAAGACCAUAGGACAGUGGUAUGCCCUGUGAUUGAUAUUAUCAGUGCUGAUACACUUAUGUACAGCUCCUCUCCUAUCGUAUGUGGAGGAUUCAACUGGGAUCUACACUUUAAAUGGGAUCUUGUUCCCUUUUCUAAAUUAGGAGGACCAGAAGGAGCUAUUGCACCGAUCAAGUCACCUGCAAUGGCAGGCGGCUUAUUUGCUAUGAACAGACACUAUUUCAAUGAACUUGGACAAUAUGACAGUGGCAUGGAUAUCUGGGGAGGUGAAAAUUUAGAAAUAUCAUUUAGGAUCUGGAUGUGUGGAGGCAAGCUCUUUAUCAUCCCUUGCUCUAGAGUAGGACACAUUUUCCGGAAAAGGCGUCCGUAUGGGUCUCCUGAAGGACAGGACACCAUGACACACAACUCUUUAAGAAUGGCACAUGUUUGGUUGGAUGAGUAUAAGGAACAAUAUUUUUCUUUGAGACCUGAAUUGAAGUUGAAAAGCUAUGGAAACAUCAGCGAACGUGUUGAAUUGAGGAAAAAACUGGGCUGUAAAUCAUUUAAAUGGUAUUUGGAUAAUAUCUACCCAGAGAUGCAACUGUCUGGCCCCAAUGCCAAACCACAACAACCUGUUUUUAUUAACAGGGGACCCAAACGACCCAAAAUUCUGCAACGUGGAUGGCUCUAUCACCUCCAAACCAAUAAAUGUUUGGCUGCUCAGGGUCACCCAAGUCAGAAAAGAGGACUUGUAGUUCUUAAGGUCUGUGAUUACAGUGAUCCAAAUCAGGUCUGGAUUUAUAAUGAAGAACAUGAAUUGAUUUUAAAUAAUCUCCUUUGCUUGGAUAUGUCAAAAACUCGUUCAUCAGAUCCACCAAGACUCAUGAAGUGCCAUGGAUCAGGAGGAUCCCAACAGUGGAUACUUGGGAAAAACAGUCGACUUUACCAGGUAUCAGUUGGGCAGUGUCUGAAGUUGGUUGAUCCACUGACUCGAAAAGGCUAUGUUACUAUGGCAAUCUGUGAUGGCUCCUCCCCACAGCAGUGGUAUUUGGAGACCUAAGAUCUUUAAAGACUCUGAAGUUCGAGGAAGUCAUGAUGUUCCUCACUCCUGGACUAAAGUGAUGCUUUGGAGAGUUGACUGAGGAGACAAAUCAAAUUCCUUAGCUGUUAUCCCUGAUUGGCAGUGUCUGCCUCUAGCAGUUCCUCUAG